GACGGGGGAUGCAAGUGUUAUCCGGAAUCACUGGGCGUAAAGCGUCUGUAGGUGGUCAAAUAAGUCAACUGUUAAAUCUUGAGGCUCAACCUCAAAAUCGCAGUCGAAACUAUUAGACUAGAGUAUAGUAGGGGUAAAGGGAAUUCCAGUGGAGCGGUGAAAUGCGUAGAUAUUGGAAAGAACACCGAUGGCGAAGGCACUUUACUGGGCUAUUACUAACACUCAGAGACGAAAGCUAGGGUAG
rnacentral:rRNA from 1 species